rnacentral:rRNA from 1 species
AUUGAACGCUGGCGGCAGGCCUAACACAUGCAAGUCGAACGAGUGGCGGACGGGUGAGUAAUGUAUGGGAAACUGCCUGAUGGCGGGGGAUAACUACUGGAAACGGUAGCUAAUACCGCAUACUAUCCGCUGUGCCCAGAUGGGAUUAGCUAGUUGGUGGGGUAACGGCUCACCAAGGCGACGAUCCCUAGCUGGUCUGAGAGGAUGACCAGCCACACUGGAACUGAGACACGGUCCAGACUCCUACGGGAGGCAGCAGUGGGGAAUAUUGGACAAUGGGCGAAAGCCUGAUGCAGCCAUGCCGCGUGUAUGAAGAAGGCCUUCGGGUUGUAAAGUACUUUCGGCGGGGAAGCGUUACCUGCAGAAGAAGCACCGGCUAACUCCGUGCCAGCAGCCGCGGUAAUAC